ACAACUGUCUCCCAAAUAGCCUUCCUCAUUACUGGAGAUUAGGAGGAGAAGACAAACCACCAUCGGCGGCAACGACGACGUCACUAUUGGAAAAUCUCCUUAAGGUUAAUACUCAUCUUGCUAAUCCGCUAGGGUUUCUCAAAAUGGUAUUCUAGUUCACUGGUAGAGACUCAAAUCUGAUCAUGUGGUGAAAGAUAAGUUGAUAACAAAUCGAAGAGCCAUCUUUGUUGUUCAACUUAUUAAUUUUCUCUUCCUUAAAGUUGUGAAUCCUUUCUGUCGAAUCUUUAAAUCUAAUUAAAAAUCUGUUAGGAUAUUUUUGUACUAUAAUCCAUCCUUUUUUGCAUUUGAUUUUAUGAGGAAAACAUAAAAUUGUACCCUAAUUUCAUCCUAUUUUCUACUGUAAAAGUCGCACGAUUUUCGCCUUUGAAGCGUAAUAGUAUCAGCUUCCGCGGUCUUCUUGUCAAGGUAGAAUAUCCCCUAGGUAUAAAAUUUUCUUUUUAAUUGCUGAAUGUGUUAAGAAUAAUUGAUUUCUUACAAUAGCUUCCUCUAUGUUUGAGCAGGGAUCAAUACGAUAUCUGAGCUCGUAAAAAUCGGAUCUUUUUAAUACUUGUCAGCGACUAGCAAGAGGUUGUUGCUAUUACCACUGCUAUCCAAGAGGAGAUAUUUUUCGAGAUGGGAAUUGGUGAGCUUUAAAUUACUCAUGCUUUACUUCAAGGACAGUUCAACUUAGGUAAUUGUUGAGUAUUAAAGAGCUGAUUAACAUGAGGUGUUCUAGAAUCAUCUUGUACUAGCUAGAAAAUUUUUCAUAAAAAUCAAUGUAUUAAACUAGACAAUUCUAGGAGGAUACUAGAUACUUCUCAAAUAAAAUUCAUAGGCAUCAAUGAGUGCUCUUUUUUCAUAUGUAUAGUCAUACAUAUGUUCGAGCAUGCGUGCAAAGACUAAGCACUUUUUACUCUAAUCUAGUUGAACCAUGUUGCUUGGUCAUCGUAUAGUGGUCCUUGUGUUUCAAAAAAGAGGUGCCAAAAACCAAUUUUGCAGAUAGAGCUAGGCAGAAUUGUAGAUAUGUUACAAUGCGAAUUUGCAGAAGUGGUUAAUAUAUAAUUAUGAUUCUGAUGGUAUUUCUGUUGUUUCGUAAAAUUGUAUAUUUAGCUUGGAAUCAGUUAGAAGAAAUAACUUUAUCAUUAAAAUGUGAAUUGAAAUAAUAAGAGAUUUUAGUUAGUGUCGUGUGUUGAAGUUUAGAUCAAGGAAUGCGUAGAUAACGAGCACAUGUGCAUUGAAUUUUCGACACUUCCUUUUUUUAAUUGUGGUCCUUCUACUUCCAUUUGUUGAAGAAAGGCCUUUCACUAUAUCAGCCUUGGUGUAUUUGCUCUUGCCAUGGAUGGUUCAUGGAUGGAUGGUAAGAACAUUUUUCUUCCUCCUCAUUCCACUAGCAUUUGUCCUUCCAUUUUAAAGAGGGAUAUUACUACAAUCGUUGGGGGUGUGAAAUGAUGAACUAAGCUGUAUUGACAGUAUUCAAUAUCAUUAAUUAAUACAAGAACAAGAUCACAGAGGUAUCAUUCUUAGAUUAUAUCAGAAGGUGAGCUGCAUUCUCCGUGCAAAGUUUGAAAUGUAUCCACUUUAGAUUGUUACUUGCAAAAAAAGCUGAAAAGUUGAAAACUGUUAGUGUGGUUGGCUACCGAAACAGUUAGAUUGUUGCUUUGGUUAUGUUUUUAUGUUUGAGUUGAUUCAAAAUAAGAAAAACAGACAACUCUCAAUUUGUUUGAAUGCAUAUGCUUACAAUUUUGGUUUUGAUGAUUUGGAUUUGUUACUCAACUUUGGUUUCUUCAUUUGUGCGAACUUAUUUCUUUCUCCUGGAAACAUUGUGCUUUAUGCAUUGUUCAUGAUAGGAAAUACAUACCCUUCACUUAUUAUAUCUGAAACUUUUGCAAUGCUCUUUUUUAACACACAUAGUCAGUUCAGGUUAUUAGUUAAAACUUUGGGGUGAUCGAGUAUUUCUCCUUUUCUUUUAUAUAUGUGCAUUUGAUUGAAAUUCAAGCUGUGAUUAACGUGGGUGAGCAAUGAUAGUGGCUAAAGUCUGGCCGCUGGCGCUGUAAUGAUCAUAGAGUCCAGCAGUCGGCCCUAAGCCAGUAGGUGGAAGUAAGAGUGGAUCUAGUUUUGCAUAUCUUGGGUUAUCAUCUUCAUUGUUUCUCUCUGCCCAAUUCCACACCAUUUUUCCCUUGUUCCUCAACUAAGUUAUGUCUAGCUUGUUGACUCGGUGGUUUCUUGCAGGGUCAUGGUUUUGUCUCCCUCUUUUAAGUAACUUUUAUUGGCAGGGAGCUUUUCUUUAGUACAAUUCCAUGGAAUCCUGUGACCUAAAGAAGUAAAUGUGGC
rnacentral:lncRNA from 1 species